rnacentral:rRNA from 1 species
CCUACGGGAGGCAGCAGUGAGGAAUAUUGGACAAUGGGCGCAAGCCUGAUCCAGCCAUGCCGCGUGCAGGAAGAAGCAUCUAUGGUGUGUAAACUGCUUUUGUACGGGAAGAAACACUGCUACGUGUAGCAGCUUGACGGUACCGUAAGAAUAAGGAUCGGCUAACUCCGUGCCAGCAGCCGCGGUAAUACGGAGGAUCCAAGCGUUAUCCGGAAUCAUUGGGUUUAAAGGGUCCGUAGGCGGUUUGGUAAGUCAGUGGUGAAAGCCCAUCGCUUAACGAUGGAACGGCCAUUGAUACUGCCAGACUUGAAUUACUAGGAAGUAACUAGAAUAUGUAGUGUAGCGGUGAAAUGCUUAGAUAUUACAUGGAAUACCAAUUGCGAAGGCAGGUUACUACUAGUUUAUUGACGCUGAUGGACGAAAGCGUGGGGAGCGAACAGGAUUAGAUACCCUGGUAGUCCACGCCGUAAACGAUGGAUACUAGCUGUUCGGGGUAACCUGAGUGGCUAAGCGAAAGUGAUAAGUAUCCCACCUGGGGAGUACGUUCGCAAGAAUGAAACUUAAAUGAAUUGACGGCUGAGAGNGCGAGACGACGACGAGGGAGGAGG